CAAGAAGCCGAAAGGCUACUUAAAACCAUCGCGAACUUAUCCAAGUUGCUUCGGCGGCGCGGCUCCCCUCACGGGGGACCGCGGCCCCCGCCUCUCAGGAGGUAAGGGGCAGCCGCCGGAGGUACGAAACUCUGUAUUAUAGUGGUAUCUCUGAGUAUAAAACAAAUAAGUUA
rnacentral:misc_RNA from 1 species